rnacentral:ncRNA from 2 species
UCCUUGGAUGUGGUAGCCGUU